rnacentral:rRNA from 1 species
UACGGAGGGGGCAAGCGUUAUUCGGAAUUAUUGGGCGUAAAGGGCGCGUAGGCGGCUAGAUGUGUCAAAGGUGAAAUCCCUCGGCUCAACUGAGGAACUGCCUUUGAAACUGUCUGGCUUGAGGCCGGGAGAGGGUAGCGGAAUUCCCAGUGUAGCGGUGAAAUGCGUAGAUAUCAAGGGGAACACCUGAGGUGAAGACGGGUUGCUGGGCUGACACUGACGCUGAGGCGCGAAAGCCAGGGGAGCAAACGGG